GGCCGCCCGCUCGUUCUCCAUGGGUUUGCAUUAGAAAUUUUAGUUCAAACAAACAAUGUUUUCUGUUGCAAAGUACAAAAGCGGGAGAGUGAGAGUGAGAGAGAGCGCGACUUUGUGGGCGUGUAGCAUUGAGUUUUUGCCUUUGGCCGCCCCAGAGCUUGAUAUUCGCCAAUCUGAUGUGGCCCCAUCUGUUGGGCAAACCCAGAACUAGCCAUUCGUUUGGAUUCAAUUGCCCUUUUUUCCACCAUUUGUGUCGGUUGGAGGUGGAGUGCCAGUGCCAGUGCAUAUCUCCCACGGGAUUGUGCUCAAAAUUACCCUCCUUCUUAUAGUAGCAAGAGCUAGAGAGAGUGAGAACACAAGAGUGUGUUCUGUUCAAUUAACAGAUUUCAUUCUAAUAACCGUUAGUUUGUGGCUUUAAACUGCUGCAAUUUGUCAGGUUUUUGUAUGUGAGAAUUUCUUUGCUUCGCCAGCCCACGGACUCAUACCGUGGGCAUACACACACACACCAACGACCAGUCGUCACAUGGCAGUCCGUUAAAAACCCCUGCCACUGUGACACUAUUGCCAUCCCGCUCUAGCACACUGCGUGAGCGCACCAACGGCACAGUGUGCAUUUGCGCUCUCCAUCGACGCUUGAAUUUGCUUCGAUUGCCGCCUGCUGUACUCUCUGGGCGCCUGGUGAAAAAGAGGGAAUUCACUUUUGGCGGGGUCUCGUUUUUCCUGGUUUGUCCAAUCGGCCUUUUGUGGGCGCUGCUGUCUGAAAUUGCCGCUCCGCCCGUCCAACAAAACACACACACGCUGUCGCACCCUCGCCCUCCGCCAGUCGCCAGUCCGAGCAGUGAUGGCAAAUUGUUGAUAAGCUGAUAACAAGGCGUCGACGGGCUUCAGGGGGCGGCUGGCAUGGCAUGGGAUUUUGGUUUGCCUCCCCUCGUCGUGUCCGUCUGACUGGCUGGAUUUUCUCUCUUGAAAAUAUACCGUUCUGUGUGAUUGUCUGCUGCUGCUGUCUCUUUUCCAUUUUUAGGGGAGGUAGUUAGUAAUUUGCGUUAAAUGUGCAGCCCAGCAAAUUAAUUUGCACGGUAGGCGUGGUUGUAGGCCUCCGCCCACAUGCCCGUACAUAGCAAAAAGGCACGUGCCGUCUAUACCGAAUCGGAACAAAAGUUAUCCAAUUCUCACAGACUUUUAUACCGGUCGGCAUGAAAUUCGACAACGGCGACAAAGCGUCACAAAAACGAAACGAAAUCGCUCCAAAGCUGGGGAAAAAAAUUACCCCACAACACGCGCGGCGGCAUGUGCGGACGUGGCCGGGCCCCGUGGUGGUGGCGGACUUUUUCAGACACGUUCGGUUUUCGGUUCGGUUUCCACCAGGCGAACAGAAAUAACAGCAGGUCUUCCACCUGGUCAUGCAGGCCGGCUGGCAUCGGCAGAAACAUCAGUCGGACCGAGUACAAUGGGCCAGGCGGAAUAAUUUACCAUCAAACUUCUUGGCGAAUAAGACGAACAACUAUCAUUGCUACGAAAGGAAGGUUAGCUUUCAAUAUCUUGUUGACUUGUCUGACUUAUCAGAUCAGAUCUGGUCCACAUAGUAGUCCCCUACUACUGUGUAGUAUAUGUUAACCAGAUCAGGUGACUUGCUUCCAUAGGCCUUUUAGCCUUGCUCUUGUCAAUUUCGACCAAGUUUUAUAGUCGAUCCAAGCUUGGACGUUGGACAAGGGUUGGAAGAACGUUGCCAGAACUUGAGUAAACCUUCAUCCUAAAUAACUAGCGACAUCCCCGCGCCCAUCAGAAAGAACACUAAAAUGGUGGCAUAAUAUGGAGACGGCGCUCACUUGCCAGGUAGCAAAAGUUCUCGAGCAGCGGUCCUGGGAAUGGUUUGCCGGUGGCAUUGUAAAUGCAUGUUAUCUGACUCUGUUUGCUUUGUUAACAAAACUUUCUUGGACAAAAAAUUGUUCGGAUUAAGAAAUUAUUUUUGUCCGAGAAUAAUACAUACCUUAUAAAACCUAAAAUAAUCUGAAACGAA